AGUGUAGUUACUGGAUCAUAUGGUUAGUGUGUAUUUAAUUUUAUAAGAAACUACCAAACUGUCUUCCAAAGUGUCUGUACCAUUUUGGGUUUCCACCAGUAAU
rnacentral:pre_miRNA from 1 species